rnacentral:misc_RNA from 1 species
GAUGAAGAACGUAGCGAAAUGCGAUAAGUAGUGUGAAUUGCAGAAUUCAGUGAAUCAUCGAAUCUUUGAACGCACAUUGCGCCCUUUGGUAUUCCAAAGGGCAUGCCUGUUCGAGCGUCAUUUGUACCCUCAAGCUUUGCUUGGUGUUGGGCGUCUUGUCUCUAGCUUUGCUGGAGACUCGCCUUAAAGUAAUUGGCAGCCGGCCUACUGGUUUCGGAGCGCAGCACAAGUCGCACUCUCUAUCAGCAAAGGUCUAGCAGCCAUUAAGCCUUUUUUUCAACUUUUGACCUCGGAUCAGGUAGGGAUACCCGCUGAACUUAAGCAUAUCAAUAAGCGGAGGA